rnacentral:rRNA from 1 species
AUUUUCCGGUUGAUCCUGCCGGACCCGACUGCUAUCGGAUUGAGACUAAGCCAUGCGAGUCAACCCGCAAGGGUGGCGGACGGCUCAGUAACACGUAGUCAACCUGCCCUGAGGACGUGGAUAUCCACGGGAAACUGUGGUUAAACCGCGAUAGGUCAUCGCUUCUGGAACGGGCGAUGGCUCAAAUCUACAUGGCCUCAGGAUGGGACUGCGGCCGAUCAGGUUGUUGGCGGGGUAAUGGCCCACCAAGCCUAUAACCGGUACGGGCUCUGAGAGGAGGAGCCCGGAGAUGGGCACUGAGACAAGGGCCCAGGUCCUAUGGGGCGCAGCAGGCGCGAAACCUUCGCAAUAGGCGAAAGCCUGACGAGGUUAAUCCGAGUGGUUCCUGCUAAAGGAACCUUUUGCCAGCUGUAAAAAGGCUGGUGAAUAAGGGGUGGGCAAGCCUGGUGUCAGCCGCCGCGGUAAUACCAGCACCCCGAGUGGUCGGGAUGAUUAUUGGGCCUAAAGCAUCCGUAGCCGGUUCUGCAAGUCUCCCGUUAAAUCCACCUGCUCAACAGUUGGGCUGCGGGAGAUACUGUAGGACUAGGAGGCGGGAGAGGCGAGGGGUAUUCCUUGGGUAGGGGUAAAAUCCUUUGAUCCAUGGAGGACCACCAGUGGCGAAGGCGCCUCGCCAGAACGCGCUCGACGGUGAGGGAUGAAAGCUGGGGGAGCAAACCGGAUUAGAUACCCGGGUAGUCCCAGCUGUAAACGAUGCAGGCUCGGUGAUGGACUGGCCUCGAGCCAGUCCAGUGCCGCAGGGAAGCCGUUAAGCCUGCCGCCUGGGGAGUACGGUCGCAAGACUGAAACUUAAAGGAAUUGGCGGGGGAGCACCACAAGGGGUGAAGCCUGCGGUUCAAUUGGAGUCAACGCCGGAAAU